CUUGGUCAUUUAGAGGAAGUAAAAGUCGUAACAAGGUUUCCGUAGGUGAACCUGCGGAAGGAUCAUUCACAAACGAGUGUUUUAUGGCACUCUUUAAAAAUCCAUAUCCACCUUGUGUGCAAUGUUUGUUGGGAAAGUCUUUUCUUUCCCUUCAUAAAUAUCAACCUAUAUCUUUAACAACAUUCGUCUGAUAACAUAUUAUGAAUAUACUUAAUUCAAAAUAUAACUUUCAACAACGGAUCUCUUGGCUCUCGCAUCGAUGAAGAACGCAGCGAAAUGCGAUACGUAAUGUGAAUUGCAGAAUUCAGUGAAUCAUCGAAUCUUUGAACGCAUAUUGCGCUCUUUGGUAUUCCGAAGAGCAUGCUUGUUUGAGUAUCAGUAAACACCUCAACCUCUCUUUUUUGAUAAAAAAAAGGGAGGGUGGACUUGAGCUAUCCCAACGACCUUCACCGGUAGGCGGGCGGCUUGAAAUGCAGGUGCAGCUGGACUUUUAUCUGAGCUAAAAGCAUAUCUAUUUAGUCCUCGUCAAACAGGAUUAUUACUUUUGCUGCAGCUAACAUAAAGGAUAAUUGUCCUCUUUGCUGACUGAUGCAGGAUUUUACGACACUUUAUGUGUUGUUCAACUCGAUCUCAAAUCAAGUAAGACUACCCGCUGAACUUAAGCAUAUCAAUAAGCGGAGGAAAAGAAACUAACAAGGAUUCCCCUAGUAACGGCGAGUGAAGCGGGAUGAGCUCAAAUUUAAAAUCUGGCGGUCUCAGAUCGUCCGAGUUGUAGUCUAGAGAAGCGUUUUCCGUGCUGGCCUGUGUACAAGUCCGUUGGAACACGGCGUCAUAGAGGGUGAGAAUCCCGUCCUUGACACAGAUCUCCAGUGCUUUGUGAUGCGCUCUCAAAGAGUCGAGUUGUUUGGGAAU
rnacentral:sRNA from 1 species